CACAAGUCAAAAAUUUUUAUUAUUUAUGAGUAGCAAGUCCCCAAAAUUCUAUACAUCCAUAAUUUUACCUCUAUAAUCUUAUUUAUUUUUCCGUAAUAAAGAACUUAAUUCGUAGCAAAAAAAAUUAUCAAUAUCACAGCUUUCCUUUUCAGUGAUCAACCUUUUGCUUUUUCUUGGGUCGAUUUUUUGUCAGGGCUUCUUUGACUUUCGCAGAGAGAUUUUGAAGUAUAUCAAUUUCCCCUUCAAUUAAUGUCUUUGCAUUUUCCUCAUCAAAAUUCUUUGGAUCUGAAAUCUUCGGAUACAUAUUUAUCCGCUUUUCAAUAAUCUUGAGUAGUUUUCUAUAAUGCUUUGGUUUUAUGUCUGAUUUCGAAGGAACAGAUAUUAAUUCCUUUUCUUUUUCCAUCAACACAAAGGCCAAACAAAUUUCUUUGAACGUCAAAUCCGCUUUUGAAAAUGUAAAAUCACUAGAAAACGUUAGGUAUAAAAAGCUCAUCAUUGAAUUGAUCAUAACUUACCCCUCCAAAUUGUAAAGUAACUCUUCACGACAUAAUAAUUCAAGACGUGCUUCUACUUCUUCAAAUCCAAGCUUUUCAAUGUACUCAGGAAGCCAGUGCUCUUUUUUAAUCAAAACAAAGUCAUGUGGAGUACCUUUCUUCUUAGUAAAUCCAUAUUUCCUAAAUAACUCUGAAUUAUCUAAUUCCCCAUAAGUAUUCCACAAUUGCUCUCCUUUUUUGAUAUCCCGAGUAGCAAUCAUCGUAAGUGUUCCAUUGAUAUCGUAGAGACGAAUCUAAAGCAUAGUUAGUAUACAUCUUUGGCUUCAAUUAAUAACUCAUUGAGGUUCGAAAGUUCUUACGUUACAAAGUUCAUCGUCACCAUUAAACAUAUCAGAUAUAGGACACAUUGCCUUUUCAAGUUCAUCAGGGUCGACCUCAGAUUCGAGAUCAGAAAAUUCGUCUUCUGAAUUUACUUCACAGUUGUUACCCACAAGACUUUGUGAAUGCAAUUUUUCGUCAUCUUGAUUAGCCGAACCUUCAUUCUUCUUAGCAGCAUCUCCAUUUUUGUCCUCCUUUAUCGAAGUUUCAGCAGCAGACUUUUCAUUUUCAUUCGAAAUUGGCGAUUUCGUUUUUUCAAUGUCGAAGCUAUAUGCAAGCAUUACAGCACUCAUUCGCAAGAAGUCCUCAUAGCUCACUUGUGAAAACCGAUUUGGGUAUAACUUAAUUAUGGGUUCAAUUCUGUCGAUCCAUAAUUGUGUAAUUUCAUUACAAUCCUCAUUGGAUUCUAAUACGGUACCUCUCAGAAGGGCAUCUUUUUUGUUUUCAUCCCAGUAAAAGGGUGAAGUAAUUCUUUCUUUGGUUGGGAAGAUCGACAAGUAAGGUCUCCAAAACGAGUUAGGACUUGCAUUUUCAGUUGCCAUUACUAACAAAAGGGCAGCCCAACUGGGUAAACUUUGAACUUCGGGAAGUUGUGCCAAGUCCGAAUUUGUCAAGCACAAAACACUAUCCUUCUUGAAACUGACUAAUUUUUCAUCUUCCUUCAAGUAUUGUUAGAUUUCAUAUACUGUCAGUUUUGGAUUGCUUACCUUAAUGUCCUCUAAGGCGAUGAAUCCAAUCCCCAGUGACUCAUGUACGUGACGGUAAUCGUUGAGUCCAAUUUUUUCAGAAGUAGUAUAAUUAUCCUUUUCGAUUGCCCAUUUUAACAUAGAUUCCGCUUGCUUCAACAUCACUGCCCCUCUAUGUUGGUCACUAACACUUUUGUACACAGAAGAAACAAAUUCCUUAGGUCUGCCCCUAACCUCCUUUUUGAAUAGCCUGAAAUGACCGAGUUGUCGUUAAUUCAGAUAGUAGUAUUCAAUUGGGUUCUUAAUCAAUGUUAAAAGAUUUAUAAGUGUAACUGAUGUAUAAAUUUCAAUUUGUGAAAUAGGCAUACCAAGAAUUGGAAAAAAAAGUAGCUUAGUAUUACGAAUUUGAAUGGCUAAGAUACAUCAGUUAAUGCUUGGCUUACGAUCACUAAAAGAGCAAAAAAGUCUAAGAAUUUGCUGUACGUGCAUAUUCCUUUCAUAAAAAGUGGAAAUUCAAGAUGGUUUUAGUAGAAUACUUUAGUAACGGGAA